UCUCCGUAGGUGAACCUGCGGAGGGAUCAUUACUGCGUUCUUGCCCUAACGGGUAGGUCUCUCACCCUAUGUUGUUAUUACUUUGUUGCUUUCGCGGGCCGUUAGGCUCCGGACCGACUACCGGCCCCGGCUGGUAAGCGUCCGCCAGAGGACAACAAACCCUGAAUCUUAGUGUCGUCUGAGUACUAUAUAAUAGUUAAAACUUUCAACAACGGAUCUCUUGGUUCUG
rnacentral:misc_RNA from 1 species